rnacentral:tRNA from 1 species
AUUAAAUUGGCAGAUGAAUGCGAUAGAUUUAGAAUCUAUUAAUGUAGGUUAAUUACAUUUAAUA